rnacentral:snRNA from 1 species
GGAUGUGAGGGUGAUCUGGCUGCAACAUCUGUCAGCCCAUUGAUCGCCUGGGUUGAUUCGGCUGAUCAGGCUGGUUAGGAAAGUGUCUUUUUACUCCCUCACCACUUCACAUGCUUCCCUCCAGAAGCUCACAUUCGGUGGAAGAGGAUGGCCUUCCCCCACUAGAGGAGAACCAGUCUUCAGUCAAAGGUAUAUGAGUAGCUGUGUUCCCCUGCUAGAACCUUCAAACUGCCUGCCAUCCUGCAUAUAAAAACUGUGAGAUAUUGGGGCUCAACACUCGGGCUUGGGAAGUUAUUUCCUGAGUCCAUGUCAGCAUGAAUAAAUCU